AGGGCAGCUAGCCUGAAUGCUUCGUUGAUAUCUUUUGUAUGUACCUAGAAAGCAAAGAAGGCUUCCAGCAUAUCCGAAGGAUCCAUUCUGAAGAACAUGUGGAAGGAUAUGAACAAGUAUCACCUAGAACAGGUCUACAUCUCCUUCUGCCUGCUGGAGGUCUACUAACAGCUCCUCCAACUCAACAUGACCCACCUGGAACUCAUCAUAUUUUCCUUUUUCUGGGCCUAUGAUUUAACUAGCAUGGCUUGGUUUCGGAGGAAAGUGAAGAGGAGGUGGUGCUUUUUGGUGAUAUAAAAGGUAAUCCAUAACCCAGAUAUCAUUGAAGGAUGCCCACAAAUGGAAGAGAGAAAUAAAAUUCCUGGGUAUUGUUAGCAA